GGGCCUACGGGGGGCAGCAGUGGGAAUAUUGCACAAUGGGGGAAACCCUGAUGCAGCGACGCCGCGUGAGUGAAGAAGUAUUUCGGUAUGUAAAGCCCUAUCAGCAGGGAAGAAAAUGACGGUACCUGACUAAGAAGCCCCGGCUAACUACGUGCCAGCAGCCGCGGUAAUACGUAGGGGGCAAGCGUUAUCCGGAUUUACUGGGUGUAAAGGGAGCGUAGACGGCAGCGAAAGUCUGAGGUGAAAUCCCAUGGCUUAACCAUGGAACUGCUUUGGAACCUGUGCAGCUGGAGUGCAGGAGGGGG
rnacentral:rRNA from 1 species